GUGCCAGCAGCCGCGGUAAUACGGAGGUGGCAAGCGUUGUUCGGAAUUACUGGGCGUAAAGCGUACGCAGGUGGCGAUCCAAGUCGGAUGUGAAAGCCAGGGGCUCAACCCCGGAUGGGCAUCCGGGACUGGAUGGCUGGAGUCCGGGAGAGGAGAGCGGAAUUCCCAGUGUAGAGGUGAAAUUCGUAGAUAUUGGGAAGAACACCGGUGGCGAAGGCGGCCAUCUGGACCGGUACUGACGCUGAGGCGCGAAAGCGUGGGGAGCAAACAGGAUUAGAUACCCUGGUAGUCCACGCCGUAAACGAUGCGUGCUAGACGUUGGGGGGCUUGCCCUUCGGUGUCGCAGCCAACGCGCUAAGCGCGCCGCCUGGGGAGUACGGCCGCAAGGUUAAAACUCAAAUGAAUUGACGG
rnacentral:rRNA from 1 species